GGCCCGGUGGUGUAGCGGUAACACACCCUCUUGCAGUGCCACAGCAUGAGCUCGUUUUGAGGGAGCCCCUUGUUCGACUCGAGGGCAGGCCA